AACGAACGCUGGCGGCAUGCCUAACACAUGCAAGUCGAACGAGAUCUUCGGGUCUAGUGGCGCACGGGUGCGUAACGCGUGGGAAUCUGCCCUUUGGUUCGGAAUAACAGUUGGAAACGACUGCUAAUACCGGAUGAUGACGAAAGUCCAAAGAUUUAUAGCCAGAGGAUGAGCCCGCGUAGGAUUAGCUAGUUGGUGUGGUAAAGGCGCACCAAGGCGACGAUCCUUAGCUGGUCUGAGAGGAUGAUCAGCCACACUGGGAUUGAGACACGGCCCAGACUACUACGGGAGGCAGCAGUGGGGAAUAUUGGACAAUGGGCGAAAGCAUGAUCCAGCAAUGCCGCGUGAGUGGUGAAGGCCUUAGGGUUGUAAAGCUCUUUUACCCGGGAUGAUAAUGACAGUACCGGGAGAAUAAGCUCCGGCUAACUCCGUGCCAGCCGCCGCCGUAA
rnacentral:rRNA from 1 species